AUUUGAAGGCGAGAAGUGGAAUUUCGAAAGCUGAAUUCAACUGAAUGGAAGUUUUUCUGUGUAUUGAUUUAGCUGUUACGCAUCAGAAAUCAGACAAAUCUUGUGUCCCAAGUAUCCAUUUUGAGAAUUGAAAGACUUGUGAUUCUAUCGAUAAUCUUUGUAAAGGUGUGAAAUUCAGUACAAAUAUCGAUUGUGAUUUCAUUUCUGCGCGUUACCAUUGUUCCAGUUUUUAUCUCGUAGGCUUACGUAUUUAGUUGAAAUGUUCGGUUCAAUGAUGGGUGACGGAUUCGAAGACUUAAUGGGGGGUCACAUGCGACAGAUGCAAAACAUGAUGAACUCCUUUUUCGGUGGUAAUCCACUAGCACCCACGGGCCGUAGUCGAUCCAUGUCACUAAUGCCUUUCAACGACGGAAUGGACCCUAAUAUGAACAGUAUGAUGUCUCCUUUCGGAUUUCCUAGUAUGGGAAAUAUGGCAAACAUGGGCCAAAUGAUGAGAAGCAUGAGUCAAAUGCCAAAUGAUCCGAAUUGUCACUCUUUUAGUUCUAGUUCAGUUAUGACUAUGACCACUGGUCCAGAUGGUAAACCACAAGUGUAUCAAGCUUCGCAAUCGUCGAGAAGUGGGCCUGGUGGAGUUCGUGAGACAAAGAAAAGCGUUUGUGACAGUCGUUCCGGUGUGAAGAAAUUAUCGAUCGGUCAUCAUAUUGGCGAAAGAGCUCAUAUUAAAGAAAAAGAGCAAAACGUGUAUUCUGGUCAGUUGGAAGAGAACGAAGAGUACGUCAACUUGGACGAAGAGGAAGCUGACCAAUUUAACAGAGAAUGGCAAACUAAAACGCAACAUUUCAGACCUCGUAGUUCUCAUCAAGCCAUCGGCUAUCAUCGGUCUUCGAAUCACACCAACCCGAACGAAUAUCUCGCUUUACCACCAGCUCCGAGGUAUAAGUACAGUCCGAGUAGAAAAAAUUAUAAAGCUGCGUCGUGUAAUUCGAAUUAUUAUUCACGAGCAUUGCCCGAAUCCAGAUAUAGGGCAUUGCCUAUCCCUGUUACCUAUUCUAGGUAUGUGCGGCGGUAUUAAAAUGUUAAGUAGGCCUACUAUUUAAAGUGCUUCAUAGAAGCAAUUUUACCUAUAUAUUGCUGAACCCGAACAUAGUCUCAAACAAGAAUCUCAACAAAAGAAAAAAGAUCACCGUUCUAAACCCUAUAACAAACGUAAAGAGAAAAAGAAUCAAGAAUGAUUUUUUUUACUUCGUAACUCUCGAUUAACAUUUAAGCUUUGUAGCAAUUAUUUUAAGACUUUUUACAGUUCAAUGCAAAUUUUUUUCUUUUAUACAAUAUGAUUUCAAAAUGUAAAUAUCGUGGCUUCGUGGUGAAAUUAAGAUGUAAUUUUCAUAUUUACUAUUUCUAAGUUCCUUUAUUCUUAAUUUUAAGUAUUUAUGAUUUCUUUUCUUUGAAAAAAAAAUUGUUACUUUAUCGUAGAGCACUUCUGACUGUUGUAUACGAAGAAAAUCUGUUCGAUUUUGUUGUAUAUAAUAUCCAAUAAUAGAGUUAUGAAUA